AUUUUAUUAAAUAUGAAAAAGGCAGCCCGUGCUCAGAGGAAAGCGUAGGAUUCAUCCGUAUAGAUGCGUGUGCCUUUUGUGUGGCCUUGUCUUGGAACUGAAGAUACAACUCCAAGCUUCCAAUGAUUCUAGUGCAACUGGCAUUCGCUUUCUUCAUUACAUGCACGACUGCAAAAUCAGAUGGCUGCCAAUCAGGGGAUACGACCUCAGCCUUCGUCAAAAUUAUUCGUCUGGUUGUGGAAACACUGAAGCUGGACCCGCUGCAGUUGCCGGACGUGUGCCUUGAAGUUCCAAUGCUUGGCGGCAUCACAUUACACAACGGCAGCCUUACAGGACUGAGUACUGUUAGGAGAACGGGGACCAAUUCUAUCUCGGUUGAAGACAAAGGACUCGAAGUUCAAGUUGACAUGGGAACGGGGCAACUAGCCGUCAAUUUUACAACGACCAUUUCUAUGGGGCUCAUUUCAUCGGACGUAAAUAUUUUGGUGGAUGUCAACUGUACACGCAUUGUGGUGGACAU